AGUUUCAUUUCAAUCUUCAAACGCUGAGGAUCAACAGCAGCAACAGUAGCAGCAGCAGCAGCAGCAGCUAGGAGCAGCAGCAGGAAACCACCGAGGACUUUGUGGACCAGCAACAGAUCCUCCAUCCUCCAGCGCAAUGCCCUAAAAGCGCUAAGGAGGCUGUUGCACGCGGCAUUACAAAAAAAAACAAAAACAAAAUCUAUCAAGUUUACUUUCAACCGUUCCGAAAACCACGAAUUCAAAAAACUACAAAAGUUUCAAAAAAUCACACAAGUUAAACCAAAAACCUAAAACGAAAAACCCAAAUACCAAAUAUAACCGAAAGUCAGAUUAAUUCUUAUUCACAAACUAAACACUAAACAAAACACUACGACAAAAAUAUUAAGUAAAAACUAUAAAAUCAGUUUGCAAAAGUAAACCAGAAACUCCAAUCCUAAUAUAGUUUUGCGAUAAGGUUUAAAAGCGGAAACAAAAAUAAUAAUAAAUGUUUAAUGCACAACGAACCAAAUUCCAUAACAGACACUAAAAAACUAUACAUAAAUACCUCAAAACUAUAUUCAACAAACAAAAAGAAAUAUAACAAAAUAUCAAAAGAAAUUAAGAAGUGCAAACAACUCGACAACAAUUGGAAAGUUUUCAAAGCUAACCUAAAAAGAGGACGAAAAAGGAAAUACCGCAUAGAUACUAAUAUUAUUUUUUAUAUUUUACAGGACCCCUCACAGUUGAGCAGACAGCUAGACGCCUUCGAUUGAAGCUAGCAUGGAUCAAACAGCUACAGCAACAAAUUCCAAUUGACACCCAGAAAAUUGUUAUGAAACUCAAAGAAAUUCUAAAAUGUUUAUUGCUCAUAUUUCUCUACUGCAACGACAAACGACAAAUCAACAAAUUCAUUAACAACAACAAAAGUCCAACUCAUCAAGAGAACCAAUCCAAAUCGAAACGCCUUAAGAGACUGCAAUGCAACUGCCAGCAGCCCCAAACCGAAGCACCGUGCCCCAAACAGCAGACCCGGCCACCAAAUCCUACAGAAUUCCGACAAAAAUUACAAGGAAGGAAACCCAAAUUCAAGUUAGCAACAACAAAAUCGAGAUUCGCAUAUAACGGCACAAUUGCUGCGACGGCGCCUGCUACGCUGAUGACGAUGAUGAUGAUGAAGACGAUGACAAAGCGUAAGAUCGAACAUUUGACGGCGAAAGCAGCAGGCAUCAGGAGCAGCGGCAGCAACAGCAGAAGCAGCAGCAGCGACGGCAACGUCGUCAUUUAUCUAAGGCAGCAGCUUAACGGGGACACAGUCGCCCCGCCAUAGAUAUUUGGCUGAAUAUCUAAGCAGGGGCGGCUGCCCCAGCAGCAACCCCUCGACAGGAAGGAAUCAAACACACACACACAUACCACCCCAACAAGCAAUCUAAGUUUCUGCGGCGAAUUCAACACAAACACAAGCACAACAUCACACACAGACACACACACACACACACGCAUACACAGAGAGAGCUACAGCCUAAGCAAGAGAAAUGGAGAGAGCAAGAGCGAGAGCAGCGAGCGCAGCACGAGAGAGCAUCUUUGGCAGCCCAAAAAGCGCACAACGAAAACAACAUUUCGCAAGUAUGUUUUGACCUUACGUUUUAGCUUAACGUUUUUCAGUUGCACUUUUAAAACCUUUCGAUUUCAAAGGCCGCUGCACAGCGUUAGCCAACAAAAACAAAUCGAAAUUAAUUAUCUCAAAAGUAAUAUUUAAAGAAAUUAAUACUCAAAACAACAACAAAAACAGCUAAAAGAGCUCAAAAUAUCCAAAGAAAUUCUAAAUUUCCACUUUCGGCUACUCUGGCAAGCAACAAUUUACAAAAUUCCACACUAACCGGCAAUCAAAAUUCAAAAUCAAUAUUUAAAAAUUCUAGUAUCCAAAACAACUCAAUUUCAGGUGAUCAAAAUCUGUGCAAAAUUAAUGCGAAAUCCGAAAUUAAAACCUAAAAAUCAUACAGAGCUCUGACUCAAUACAAAACCCCAAAAAAUAAAAGAAAAACUGAACAAAAACAAAAAGAAGCAAGUCCAGUAAACUCUUAGCUUUCGAAACACUCUGAGCAGUUCCGCCAAAGACCACAACAAAAUUAUAUUCAAUUCUAAAGAGCAAAAGACAAAUUAACUGAAAAGUCGCAGCAUUCGGAUGCCCUUUGGCGCAUAAUUAUUAUUAUUACACAUUAAGAUGACAAAUUGCAACGAAAUUCCCAAAAAGCAGCAUUAUAAAUUACAAGCACGAACGGAAGUUUUAAUGCGACAAAAAGUCAAGAACAAAAAGAAAAAAACAUCAUCAUCAUCAGCAGCAUCAUUAUCAUAACACACCAAAAACAAGAGGAACGCAAAAAGAAAUAACAAAAAAAAAAAAAAAAAAAAAAAAAAACAAGACUACAAGGAGCAAGCAACUGUCCUGGCAAACUUUCUGGCAAAAAUCUUACAAAUGGCGGCCUACUCAUUCGCCAGAGAAAUAGGACAAGGCAGAUAAAUCAACGCGAACAAAACAAUUCUGAACCAAAAACAACAACGAUUAUUGUAAAAACUUUCGCAUAGAAGGGGUUGAAAUUGAAAAUAAAUUCAGUAGCCAGAUUCAUACGCCAAAAUCCCUCAAGCACACUCACACACGCAUGCACACACACAACACACGCAGAGGCAGAGAUAGAAACACACACGCACAAGCCACAAAGCCAACGAUAGUUUUGGAUAGCUCAAAAUUGUAAACAUUUGAAAGCGAUUCUAAGAAGUCCUCGGGACGCAUUAUUUGCGCUUGACAGCAGCGAAGACAAAAAACAUACAGAGUUCACCAAAAUCCAAUUCAAAUUCCAAAUCCAAAUCGAAAUCAAAAUCAAAAUCAAAAGCGACAAAUGAAAACAGAAACACAGAACCAGCAGCCAGAACUUUAAACACACGAAAGACAUAUAUCAGGCAAAUCAGCACCCACUACACCCUUUAAACAAUGUGGUUAGUUUAGUUUUCUUUGGCAAAGAAAGUUCGAACCCCAUCAACAGCAGCAACAGCAGCAACAGCAGCAACAGCAGCAACAAAAGCAACAACAGCAACUCAGUCCCCCAAUGCAUGCAGUUGAAAGCACAUCAAACAAAACUGUAAAUUUAUAUAAACUACUGGCAAUAGAGGAGAGGUCGUAGCAUAAUUGCUAUCAAUAAAUAAAAUAUGGCUGAAUCGUGGGUAGGUAGCUCAUAUGCGCUCUAACUCUAAACUUCAAUCAAGUCAAAAACUCCCAACGACCACCAGACAGACAAAUUUUUGAUUUAGAAAUUCAUUGCGAAAGUUGCCUGGCCAAGCGGCAGCAUAAGCAACAGACUAACAACAACAACAACAGCAACCAUCAUCUAGAGACUUGGCAUCAACAACAACAGCAACAGCAACAAGAACAGCAACAGCAACAUGAGCAAAAAACCAUCUUUCUUUAUGAAAUUACACAUUUCCGACUUGUACAACGACAACAUUGUAGCCCAAAAAACCCAAAAAAGCAACAAAAACUAGCAAAAAGCAGCAAAAAGCAGCAAAAAGCGAAAGCAUCUAUGCAAAUGUAACCAAAUCUAAGGCAGACCAUACCGUUUUUCCAUACCAUUUGACGGCUUGACUGAAAAUUAAGUUACAUAUCUUAUUUACACACAACAAAACUUGAAGAACCAACCAUUUAGAAAAAAAAUGACUAACAAACUGACACGUUUCAUGCAUUUUGGAAAUCUGCAAAAUCAUCAAGAGAAGAAGCCAAAACAAACAAAUCGCAGCAAAUGGAAUCUUGUACAAUAUUUCUAUUGAAAAAUCCAUUUAGAAGCAAAAACAAAAAA